rnacentral:antisense_RNA from 1 species
AGCGGGGCGAUUUCGAAAAGAAGGACUGCAGCGCCCCUCGGGGCUUCUCGGGGAGCCCAGGAGGAAAGAGCUCAAUGCGGAAUCACAUAGGCAAAGGCUCUGAUUAUUUUCCUUGCAAUCGAAGACAAAAGCCGCCAUGUUUAUUAAAAUGAAAGUCGUAUUUUUACUCUUCCCUGGAAAGAAGUGUGUGCAACCAGACCAUCCCACCAAAGUCCUUCUAGCCCCCAGGAAGACAAUUGAAGAGUUCAAAGAAUUGAAAAGUUAAGCCAAUUUAUUUAAAAUAAUAUUUGACUUUCUCAUUAUCAAUAUAUGUGUAUUUUCUGCAAGGUUACAAAAACAACUGGAACAUAUGUUAAAACAAUCUUCAGUGUCAUCUGCAGCAACUAAUUCUAGAGAACUAUCUUAUUCAAUUUCAUUUCUUACUUAUAUGGAACUAAACCUUAAUCUGCUUUUCAGGUAUGAAAUAUAUUCAUGAUUCUGUCUCAAAAUAUGAAAUCAAAAGUUAGUAUUAUAACUCCCAGCUAACUGUCAUAUUAAUUCAUCUGGAUGAACCUUGUGGUACUGAACUCUGACAAUGCUCAGGGUGUC